rnacentral:rRNA from 1 species
CAAUAGCGUAUAUUAAAGUUGUUGCGGUUAAAAAGCUCGUAGUUGGAUUUCUGCCGAGGACGACCGGUCCGCCCUCUGGGUGUGUAUCUGGUUUGGCCUGGGCAUCUUCUUGGAGAACGUAGCUGCACUUGACUGUGUGGUGCGGUGUCCAGGACUUUUACUUUGAGGAAAUUAGAGUGUUUCAAGCAGGCACACGCCUUGAAUACAUUAGCAUGGAAUAAUAAGAUAGGACCUCGGUUCUAUUUUGUUGGUUUCUAGAGCUGAGGUAAUGAUUAAUAGGGAUAGUUGGGGGCAUUCGUAUUUAACUGUCAGAGGUGAAAUUCUUGGAGUUGUUAAAGACGGACUACUGCGAAAGCAUUUGCCAAGGAUGUUUUCAUUGA